CGUGAUGUUUAAGGCGGACGGGUGAGUAACACGUGGGUAACCUGCCUGUAAGACUGGGAUAACUCCGGGAAACCGGGGCUAAUACCGGAUGGUUGUUUGAACCGCAUGGUUCAGACAUAAAAGGUGGCUUCGGCUACCACUUACAGAUGGACCCGCGGCGCAUUAGCUAGUUGGUGAGGUAACGGCUCACCAAGGCAACGAUGCGUAGCCGACCUGAGAGGGUGAUCGGCCACACUGGGACUGAGACACGGCCCAGACUCCUACGGGAGGCAGCAGUAGGGAAUCUUCCGCAAUGGACGAAAGUCUGACGGAGCAACGCCGCGUGAGUGAUGAAGGUUUUCGGAUCGUAAAGCUCUGUUGUUAGGGAAGAACAAGUGCCGUUCAAAUAGGGCGGCACCUUGACGGUACCUAACCAGAAAGCCACGGCUAACUACGUGCCAGCAGCCGCGGUAAUACGUAGGUGGCAAGCGUUGUCCGGAAUUAUUGGGCGUAAAGGGCUCGCAGGCGGUUUCUUAAGUCUGAUGUGAAAGCCCCCGGCUCAACCGGGGAGGGUCAUUGGAAACUGGGGAACUUGAGUGCAGAAGAGGAGAGUGGAAUUCCACGUGUAGCGGUGAAAUGCGUAGAGAUGUGGAGGAACACCAGUGGCGAAGGCGACUCUCUGGUCUGUAACUGACGCUGAGGAGCGAAAGCGUGGGGAGCGAACAGGAUUAGAUACCCUGGUAGUCCACGCCGUAAACGAUGAGUGCUAACUGUUAGGGGGUUUCCGCCCCUUAGUGCUGCAUCUAACGCAUUAAGCACUCCGCCUCGGGGAGUACGGUCGCAAGACUGAAACUCAAAGG
rnacentral:rRNA from 1 species